rnacentral:rRNA from 1 species
CGAACGCUGGCGGCGUGCUUAACACAUGCAAGUCGAACGGAAAGGCCCUGCUUUUGUGGGGUGCUCGAGUGGCGAACGGGUGAGUAACACGUGAGUAACCUGCCCUUGACUUUGGGAUAACUUCAGGAAACUGGGGCUAAUACCGGAUAGGAGCUCCUGCUGCAUGGUGGGGGUUGGAAAGUUUCGGCGGUUGGGGAUGGACUCGCGGCUUAUCAGCUUGUUGGUGGGGUAGUGGCUUACCAAGGCUUUGACGGGUAGCCAGCCUGAGAGGGUGACCGGCCACAUUGGGACUGAGAUACGGCCCAGACUCCUACGGGAGGCAGCAGUGGGGAAUAUUGCACAAUGGGCGGAAGCCUGAUGCAGCAACGCCGCGUGCGGGAUGACGGCCUUCGGGUUGUAAACCGCUUUCGCCUGUGACGAAGCGUGAGUGACGGUAAUGGGUAAAGAAGCACCGGCUAACUACGUG